CAGGUGCCCUGUGGGCUCCACCUGGCAAUAAAAAGGGGGGCACCACAGGGGAAGAAGGGGCCGACUGCUGGCUCCAGUCAGACCAGAGACCCCUAGCCUGGGGUGGGGAGGGGGCCUCGCUGGCAGAGUCCGGUCACCGAGGGGUGAGCAGGCUGAACGGGCUGGCAGCGCGAGCUGGCCUCUCCCUCCCCCACCUGCCCUGCACCUGCAGGCUCUGCCCUGCCAGGCAGGACUGCAGCCUCCGCUGAGCAUGUCUGUUCCAGUCAUACCUUCCAGAACCGGCAAAACCACAGAUGGGCCCACAGGGAUCAGACCUGAGCUAACGCUCCCUGGGUCACCUGGCCUCCACAAGCCCCGGCUCGGACACGGAACUCCCUGACUGUUCGGUGUGGCAGACAAUGGCAGUUGCUGCUUUGACCCUGCUGUCCAUCAUAGCGGCCACACCCACCUUGUUUGGGGGGUUGACACAUGUGGCCCGUGCCCCCCUGGGAUCCGACUGCUCUGCUGCACUUAGGUUUCCUACCUCAGUGGCCGGUGUGACGUCUGACCUGCAAGAGAGAAGCGAUCACAGAGCGCUUGGAGGAGGCUGGAGCUCCCCUCACAGAUUCAUUUCUCACGGGCAUGGCAGAAGGGCCCAGGCCAGGCCAGGUUUGCUGAGGGCUCAAGGCUUUUGUACGCACUAUGCCCACUGCCUGGGAGCUGCUCUCCUCGGUUCUCACCUGUCACUGCUGAGCUGAGACAACCCUCCUCGGAGUCCUCCUCCCUGACCCAUGGAGCCAAAAGGGCAGCCCUCCAACCCCCCACACCUCCACAUUCUGGCAUCACUACUCUUCAGUUGCUCCCGGCCCUAUGAGGACCUGACAUUAACUAACUGCCACGUGCCUCCCCAGCCACACCACAUGUCCUGGCGGCCGGGACCCCAUCUUGCUCACAGCCAAAUCCCCAGCACCGAGGCUGGAACUGGGGACACAGCAGAUGCUCAACAAAUAUUUCUAAACUGUGCAAAGAGCCACCAGUCAUGUCCUGGCAUAAAGACAGCAGGCCCGGCUGAGCACAGUGGCGCACACCUGUAACCCCAGCACUUUGGGAAGCUGAGGUGGGCGCUUGAGGCCAACCUGAGUAACAUAGCGAGACCCCCGUCUCUAUGAAAAUUUUUUUUUUAAUUCGCCGGGUGUGGUGCCAUGCGCCUGUGGU